AAGAGGCAAAUGUAGUGGAUCACAUGGAUGAUGUGACAUAUGCUGUUGUCUCAACAAAGACGAAGGCGAGAGUUUCUGGAAAGCCAAAUGUAGCUGAUACGAACAACACAACGUAUGCUGUUGUUGCAAAACAGCGGAAGGAGAGAGUUUCUGGAAAGCCAAAUGUAGCUGAUACGAACAACACAACGUAUGCUGUUGUUGCAAAACAGCGGAAGGAGAGAGGUCACUGACAGCAGAAACUCAAACUCAAAAGGAAGGAAGAGAGAUUCAUUUUAAACAGUUUGUGAAAGACAGUAAUAUGUAACUUUUUAAAGAAGCACUUGAAUUUUUCAUAAUUUUCUGAAACGUAUGUAUGCUUUUUUUUUUUUUAUAUUCCUUUUCACAUUUUUAUUUUUAUCCACUCUGUAGUUCAAGUUUGACUGACCAAGACUGAGCCGCCAUUAGCCUGUUAGCCCAAAUCUCUCGUCUGUCCACAGUAUACUGUAAAAGCAAAUAAAAGACAUUUCUUUUUUUUGUUUGUUUUAAGAUUAUUGGCUGAUAAAAAUGAAAAGACUGACAUGAUUCUAUGUUCUCGAGAUCAUUAUUAGCCUUCAUGUGAGAACUUCAAGUGAGUCACAGCAUUAGUCUAUUUUUUAAAAGGUUGUGGUUUAUUAUAGUACGACAGUUAAACCACUUUGUUGUAUCUGCUCUGCCUGUUCACAUGUCUGAGGUGCUGCUGCAGCUUUUAAAUAGGCCCUAUGUGGUCACCUAAUAACAUCAGUAUUUAAAGUAUUUAGAGAUCUAUAAUGGCAUACAAACACAACAUGCAACUCAAUUACCAGAAAUGACCUUUGUGAAGUUUAGUUCAGAUAUUCAUAUUGUUUAAUGUUUACAAUGUUUCUCUUUAUGUCUUUAUUUUCCCAUUGUCCUUCUCUAUUUCAUUUUCUGUCAUUGAAAUAAUCAUCUCCUCUGCUGUCUCCAGUAGUUUCUCUGUUAUUUAACAGUUUCUCAUGCUCUGUCUAUCUCCUUUAUAUACAUUAAAAUAUAAAUAUAUACGUUUGGGGCUUUGCUGCUUUGUUAUGGGGUCCCCUUCCAGCUUGAAGCAUGGCCAAGAAAGCAGUGGCGACAACCAGAAGUGCUGCAGUGCCCUUACCUUACGAAUGUUGGAACAAACUUUGAAUUAUGCCUUAUAGAUGGACACUGAACAAAAUUAUAAACGCAACUUGUUUUUGCCCCCAUUCAUCACUUGAUGGAUUAUCUCAGCAAAGGA